UGCGCCUCAUCGAGAUGCAAUACAUCGGUGCCCCCACUUAGGCAUACACCAGUGUGUGCCACACCCGGCCCCAGCAGGGGGAUUAAAGAAACGAGCCGAAAGUAAAUAUCAACACUGACGAAAUGAUGAGUUGCAGAAAUUGAAGACUUCCUUAGCGAAUUAAGCUGCUAAAACAAACUGCUAACUAUUAAUUAGUACCUAACACUAUACCAUCUAGCCCUAAGAAAGUGAAUUAACCCAAAUUGAAUUGCCCUUAGUCGUAUGAUUACCAGUGAAUUCAAAUAACUCCAAUUUGUACUUUAGCGCAUAGAAAAAUAAGGUGCACAGGAGCAGAAGGUAGCUUGAUACCCUAACAAGCCUCGGAUGCAAAGCAGCAUUAGCCAAAUCCGAGGUAAGAAUACAGUUCAUGAGAAAGACCAUAAUUAGCAUACAUAGAAAUACUCCAAUGCCAAUAUAGAUCCAGGGGUUCCCAGAUCAAUCGAGACGGAGCAUAGUUGUUUGAAAGUAGAUUGCAGCUAGAUCACUAAAAGUAAGUUUUUUGCGUCUAAAUUUAUAU